rnacentral:rRNA from 1 species
GCUUGCUUCUAUGACGUUAGCGGCGGACGGGUGAGUAACACGUGGGCAACCUGCCUGUAAGACUGGGAUAACUUCGGGAAACCGAAGCUAAUACCGGAUAGGAUCUUCUCCUUCAUGGGAGAUGAUUGAAAGAUGGUUUCGGCUAUCACUUACAGAUGGGCCCGCGGUGCAUUAGCUAGUUGGUGAGGUAACGGCUCACCAAGGCAACGAUGCAUAGCCGACCUGAGAGGGUGAUCGGCCACACUGGGACUGAGACACGGCCCAGACUCCUACGGGAGGCAGCAGUAGGGAAUCUUCCGCAAUGGACGAAAGUCUGACGGAGCAACGCCGCGUGAGUGAUGAAGGCUUUCGGGUCGUAAAACUCUGUUGUUAGGGAAGAACAAGUACGAGAGUAACUGCUCGUACCUUGACGGUACCUAACCAGAAAGCCACGGCUAACUACGUGCCAGCAGCCGCGGUAAUACGUAGGUGGCAAGCGUUAUCCGGAAUUAUUGGGCGUAAAGCGCGCGCAGGCGGUUUCUUAAGUCUGAUGUGAAAGCCCACGGCUCAACCGUGGAGGGUCAUUGGAAACUGGGGAACUUGAGUGCAGAAGAGAAAAGCGGAAUUCCACGUGUAGCGGUGAAAUGCGUAGAGAUGUGGAG